rnacentral:rRNA from 1 species
UACGUAGGUGACAAGCGUUGUCCGGAUUUACUGGGCGUAAAGAGCGCGCAGGCGGUCGUUCAAGUCGAGUGUGAAAGCCCCCGGCUCAACUGGGGAGGGUCAUUCGAUACUGAUCGACUCGAAGGCAGGAGAGGGUAGUGGAAUUCCCGGUGUAGUGGUGAAAUGCGUAGAUAUCGGGGGGAACACCAGUGGCGAAGGCGACUACCUGGCCUGUUCUUGACGCUGAGGCGCGAAAGCUAGGGGAGCAAACGGG